CAGGGAUUGUUUAAACAGGUCUAGCUCAGUCUGUAGCCAAUGAGAUGUUGGUGUUGGGUUUGUGUGUUUCCUGUUUUCACUCUCUACCAGUGGAGGAAGACACAAAUGGGAUCCUAGAAAGGGAUCUUGCAAUUAGUCCUUAAACUCAAUCCCUGAACCCAGCUGAAAACAAUAGUCUUUUUACCUAAUGGGUUUCAUGUCCAAUCAUCAUCAGUCUGAAUGAGCUCACCAGCUAACUCUGGGGAAACAGCUUCUAUGAUAUGUAUACCCCUUACAUAAAGGAGAACAGCAAGGAAAGAAUAAAAUGUGACUCAUGGAAGUUAUCUUCUACAGAACAAUCAACCAAGGACCUCACAGACAGGAAGGCCAUACACACAUCGAAGAAAAAGAGACUGGAGAGAGAAAAAGAAAAGAAAGGGAGAACAUCGUUAUUAUUUUAGAGAGCAAUAAAGCUCUUAAUGAAA